GAUGAACGCUGGCGGCGUGCCUAAUACAUGCAAGUCGAGCGAACGGACGAGAAGCUUGCUUCUCUGAUGUUAGCGGCGGACGGGUGAGUAACACGUGGAUAACCUACCUAUAAGACUGGGAUAACUUCGGGAAACCGGAGCUAAUACCGGAUAAUAUUUUGAACCGCAUGGUUCAAAAGUGAAAGACGGUCUUGCUGUCACUUAUAGAUGGAUCCGCGCUGCAUUAGCUAGUUGGUAAGGUAACGGCUUACCAAGGCAACGAUGCAUAGCCGACCUGAGAGGGUGAUCGGCCACACUGGAACUGAGACACGGUCCAGACUCCUACGGGAGGCAGCAGUAGGGAAUCUUCCGCAAUGGGCGAAAGCCUGACGGAGCAACGCCGCGUGAGUGAUGAAGGUCUUCGGAUCGUAAAACUCUGUUAUUAGGGAAGAACAUAUGUGUAAGUAACUGUGCACAUCUUGACGGUACCUAAUCAGAAAGCCACGGCUAACUACGUGCCAGCAGCCGCGGUAAUACGUAGGUGGCAAGCGUUAUCCGGAAUUAUUGGGCGUAAAGCGCGCGUAGGCGGUUUUUUAAGUCUGAUGUGAAAGCCCACGGCUUAACCGUGGAGGGUCAUUGGAAACUGGAAAACUUGAGUGCAGAAGAGGAAAGUGGAAUUCCAUGUGUAGCGGUGAAAUGCGCAGAGAUAUGGAGGAACACCAGUGGCGAAGGCGACUUUCUGGUCUGUAACUGACGCUGAUGUGCGAAAGCGUGGGGAUCAAACAGGAUUAGAUACCCUGGUAGUCCACGCCGUAAACGAUGAGUGCUAAGUGUUAGGGGGUUUCCGCCCCUUAGUGCUGCAGCUAACGCAUUAAGCACUCCGCCUGGGGAGUACGACCGCAAGGUUGAAACUCAAAGGAAUUGACGGGGACCCGCACAAGCGGUGGAGCAUGUGGUUUAAUUCGAAGCAACGCGAAGAACCUUACCAAAUCUUGACAUCCUUUGACAACUCUAGAGAUAGAGCCUUCCCCUUCGGGGGACAAAGUGACAGGUGGUGCAUGGUUGUCGUCAGCUCGUGUCGUGAGAUGUUGGGUUAAGUCCCGCAACGAGCGCAACCCUUAAGCUUAGUUGCCAUCAUUAAGUUGGGCACUCUAAGUUGACUGCCGGUGACAAACCGGAGGAAGGUGGGGAUGACGUCAAAUCAUCAUGCCCCUUAUGAUUUGGGCUACACACGUGCUACAAUGGACAAUACAAAGGGCAGCGAAACCGCGAGGUCAAGCAAAUCCCAUAAAGUUGUUCUCAGUUCGGAUUGUAGUCUGCAACUCGACUACAUGAAGCUGGAAUCGCUAGUAAUCGUAGAUCAGCAUGCUACGGUGAAUACGUUCCCGGGUCU
rnacentral:rRNA from 1 species